UGGGGAAUAUUGCACAAUGGGCGAAAGCCUGAUGCAGCAACGCCGCGUGAGUGAUGAAGGCCUUCGGGUUGUAAAGCUCUGUCUUUUGGGACGAUAAUGACGGUACCAAAGGAGGAAGCCACGGCUAACUACGUGCCAGCAGCCGCGGUAAUACGUAGGUGGCAAGCGUUGUCCGGAUUUACUGGGCGUAAAGGAUGCGUAGGCGGAUUUUUAAGUGAGAUGUGAAAUACCCGGGCUUAACUUGGGUGCUGCAUUUCAAACUGGGAAUCUAGAGUGCGGGAGAGGAGAAUGGAAUUCCUAGUGUAGCGGUGAAAGUGCGUAGAGAUUAGGAAGAACACCAGUGGCGAAGGCGAUUCUCUGGACCGUAACUGACGCUGAGGCAUGAAAGCGUGGGUAGC
rnacentral:rRNA from 1 species